ensembl:lncRNA novel transcript
AGUCACCAGGUAGUGUUCUGUCCACACACACACCCCCACUGACCCCCAUCUCCAGGCAUCUGCCCUGAUGGCCUCCAGGGCCCCUUCUGUGCCUGCAGAGAUGGCGGCCUGCUCUCUAGGUCAGGCCAGGUUCCCGGGAGCCGAGGUCUGGCUGUUAUUCCAGGAGUGCCCAGCCCCAGAGCUGCCACCUCAGGCCCCUGGAAGUUCUGCAGCCUGAGCUGCCGUCCUCAGACCACUCUGCCUCUGAGCGUGCAAGAGGCUCAGGGCCUUUCCAGGCCUCCCAGAGCCAGGCAGCAGCAGGGAGCCAAGAGCAGCCUGUGGCUCCACUGUGGCAAAGGACAGCCUAUUUAGGCUGAGAGUGGGCCUGAGAGAUCACAAAUCUUUUUUCUUUGCCCAGAACUUUUAAUUUAACCCUGACUUAAAAGGGUGUUCAGGGAGCAUCAUGCUAGAAAUCCCAAAUACGAUGAAAGAAUCCCACAACAGAGGUGAACAGAGGCCUGUUCCCAGGUUCAUCCCGGGAAGGUAGCAAGACAGCGCCCCCUUUGCCCAGCUCAGUGAAGGGCCGGGGCAGCUGAUGUGGCCUGCGCACAGGGUGAGGCAGCAAGGGAUUCUCAUGAGGACAAAUUAGAGCACCUGUCACUAUAGCCAGCACUCAAGAAAUGGGAUUAUCAUCAGAGGGAAAAAUGCACAGCCUCACCAGCUAUUAAACAUAUGGAAAUGAUGACAAUUUAAAGCUUAUAAAUAACAUUAGCGGUGGCUUGGAUUUAUUGUUGUGGCCUCCGGAAGAACUUGGGCACAGUGUAACUUCCUGGGGCCCGAGGUUGUUAAUCGGUGAAUUGUUCAUGAAGGACAGUGCUCACUGUGAAGGUGGGUGUCCUGGGAUGCUCUGCCUGGCCCGCGGGAGACAAGGCUAUGGUCUGACAUCCCUCAGCCUGUCCUCAUUGUCCUGGCUCUGAGAAGAAGCUACAAAACACAGUAGAAGAAAAAGAAAACAGUCUUUUAAAGACUUGUAAUGAGUUGUUAAUGAUAAAAGUAACACAUGCCAACUGGAAAAAUGUGAAUUUUUUAUCUCAGCCAAAAGUAUAAAGAUACUUCGAUUUCUUUAAAAA